UACGGAGGGGGCGAGCGUUAUUCGGAAUUAUUGGGCGUAAAGGGCGCGUAGGCGGCUUGGUAAGUCAAAGGUGAAAUCCCUCGGCUCAACUGAGGAAUUGCCUUUGAAACUGCCUGGCUUGAGGCCGGGAGGGGGUAGCGGAAUUCCCAGUGUAGCGGUGAAAUGCGUAGAUACUGGGAGGAACACCAGUGGCGAAGGCGGCUACCUGGACCGGAACUGACGCUGAUGCGCGAAAGCGUGGGGAGCAAACAGG
rnacentral:rRNA from 1 species